AAUGAUAACCUCUGCAAUGGCAUUUGGAGAUGCUGGAAUGUUUGGAAACAUGCAGAUUGGGAAAUGGCUGAAAUCAAAUGACAAUGCCCUCAAAGAGGAUAGCACCGUCAACAUAAUCGAUGGCAAGGUGAAACAGGAUGUGUCAUUGAAGCUUCAGAAUGUGGAAUCUGGAGAAUUAGAACUAGAACUAGAGUGGAUUCCUCUUGAGCAAUAGGGAUUUGAGAAUGUGCUUCAUUGAUGAACUCGAGUGGAUUUUCAUCUUGUUAACUGGAAACCAUUUUUGAGGUUAAUUGUUUCUGUGUUUGAUCCCAUUCCUAUGGGUUGUUUAAUAGCUGUUUCUAGUGGGGUAUGACAAGUGCUUUUUUGUUGUUUUAGAAUAUAAAAAAAUUGAUGUAUUUGGUAAUUGUUAAUUUUUUUAUUUUUAUUUUAGUGGGAAAGUUUACAUUUUUAGAAUUUUUAUUUGAAUUUAUCUUUUGUUUUUGGUUUAUUUAGCCAAAGCCAAAAUAAAGCUCAUUGUGAGAAUUCUGAUGUAACGAUUGUUAUGUUCUUUUGGAAAGAUUUAUGAUUGUUUUUGGAUUGAGUUCA